rnacentral:rRNA from 1 species
UACGUAGGGGGCAAGCGUUGUCCGGAAUCAUUGGGCGUAAAGCGCGUGUAGGCGGUUCGAUAAGUCUGCUGUGAAAGUCCAGGGCUCAACCCUGGGAUGCCGGUGGAUACUGUCGGACUAGAGUACGGAAGAGGCGAGUGGAAUUCCUGGUGUAGCGGUGAAAUGCGCAGAUAUCAGGAGGAACACCGAUUGCGAAGGCAGCUCGCUGGGACGUUACUGACGCUGAGACGCGAAAGCGUGGGGAGCAAACAGG